CGGGGGCCCGCACAAGCGGAGGAACAUGUGGUUUAAUUCGAUGAUACGCGAGGAACCUUACCUGGGCUAGAACGCAGAAUGACAGAUGCCGAAAGGUGUUUUCCCAGCAAUGGGCAUUUUGCGAGGUGCUGCAUGGUUGUCGUCAGCUCGUGUCGUGAGAUGUUGGGUUAAGUCCCGCAACGAGCGCAACCCUCGCCUUUAGUUGCCAGCAUUCAGUUGGGCACUCUAGAGGGACUGCCGGUGUCAAACCGGAGGAAGGUGGGAUGACGUCAAGUCCUCAUGGCCUUUAUGUCUAGGGCUACACACGUACUACAAUGGCCGGUACAAAGGGCAGCCACUCAGCGAUGAGGCGCUAAUCCCAUAAAGCCGGUCUCAGUCCGGAUCGCAGUCUGCAACUCGACUGCGUGAAGUUGGAAUCGCUAGUAAUCGUAGAUCAGCAUGCUACGGUGAAUACGUUCCCGGGCCUU
rnacentral:rRNA from 1 species